rnacentral:misc_RNA from 1 species
UCCGGUUUGUCACCGGCAGUUCCGUCCGAGUGCUCAGCUUCACCUGGUAGCAACUAACGAUAAGGGUUGCGCUCGUUGCUGGACUUAACCAAACACCUCACGGCACGAGCUGACGACAGCCAUGCAGCACCUAUAUAAAGACCCUUUCGGGAAACACCGUUUCUGAUGUCGUCCUCUAUAUUUCGAGCCCAGGUAAGGUUCUUCGCGUUGCAUCGAAUUAAACCACAUGCUCCACUGCUUGUGCGGGCCCCCGUCAAUUCUUUUGAGUUUCACCCUUGCGAGCGUACUCCCCAGGCGGUAUACUUAAUGCGUUAGCUCCGGAACAGGGGGGGUUGAGCCCUCCUACUCCUAGUAUACAUCGUUUAAGGCAUGGACUAC